GAACCUGCGGAGGGAUCAUUACCGAGUUUACAACUCCCAAACCCCUGUGAACAUACCUAUAAUUUGCCUCGGCAGACUCAACGACGGUGCUCCGAGAAAUCGGGCGCCGCUCGCUGCCAGAGGAACCCCAAACUCUAUGUAUUCUUGUGGAUCUUCUGAGUAAAACAAAACAAAUAAAUCAAAACUUUCAACAACGGAUCUCUUGGUUCUGGCAUCGAUGAAGAACGCAGCGAAAUGCGAUAAGUAAUGUGAAUUGCAGAAUUCAGUGAAUCAUCGAAUCUUUGAACGCACAUUGCGCCCGCCAGUAUUCUGGCGGGCAUGCCUGUUCGAGCGUCAUUUCAACCCUCAAGCCCCCGGGCUUGGUGUUGGGGAUCGGCGAUAGUCGCCGUCCCCCAAAUCUAGUGGCGGUCUCGCUGUAGCCUCCAUUGCGUAGUAGCUAACACCUCGCAACUGGAACGCGGCGCGGCCAAGCCGUUAAACCCCCAACUUCUGAAUGUUGACCUCGGAUCAGGUAGGAAUACCCGCUGAACUUAAGCAUAUCAAUAAGCGGAGGAA
rnacentral:rRNA from 1 species